ACAGCUCUGUUGAUAAGAGCAUGAGACUCAUAAUCUCUGGGUCAUGGGUUCAAGCCCCAUGUUGGGCA